rnacentral:rRNA from 1 species
AUUCCAGCUCCAAUAGCGUAUAUUAAUGUUGUUGCAGUUAAAAAGCUCGUAGUUGGAUUUCUGGUUGGACCGCGAUGCCGGACUCGCAAGGGUUCGUGAUUGUUGUGGUUUCCUUCCAUCCUCAGGUUUGCGCGUGCUGGCCUUAACUGGUCGGUGGGUGUGGUCCUGUCGUUUACUGUGAACAAAUUAGAGUGUUCAAAGCAAGGUGUACUUGAAUACAUUAGCAUGGAAUAAUAAGAUAGGACUUUGGUGGUUCUUUUUGAUAUUUUGUUGGUCUGCACGCCAAGGUAAUGAUUAACAGGGACAGUCAGGGGCACUCGUAUUCCGCCGAGAGAGGUGAAAUUCUCAGACCAGCGGAAGACGAACCACUGCGAAAGCAUUUGCCAGGGAUGUUUUCAUCG